CUCAAACACAGGCCACCAGUGGAACUCGGCUGUACCACUGCAGUGCUGCGGAAAUUGCCUUCACCAGCGGCUUUGCAACAGCUGUUUCGCAGCAUGUCGGAGACAAUGCCUACGAAAUUAUUGGCCCUGAUCAUGAGAGCCCUCAAGGGGCAAACAACAUCUCUGUUGCAGAAGUGAGCCCGAUACCACUUGGAAGUUACCAUGACAGAUGACACGGCACCAAUAGAUACAGAGACUGCCAUGUCUACUGCAGCUGCAACAGUGUACGAGGCAAGCAGCAGCGCGUCAGCAUCAGCAGCAGUGUCAGAAGGAACCACACCAGGCCUGGUAGAGCAACAUGUGUGCUAUCACUGACUUUUUUUGUGGUGGAUACAACUCAUUUGCUCAACAUACAAAAGCUUUUCACCACGACUGUGAGCCAGUGUUAUUGUGCAGCAAGUGCAAGACUAAGUUAGGUGUUAUAACACAGUACAAGCAUCACUUUAAUAUAUGCAAAUGCAAACAUAUUACAGUUGUUGCCUCCCCAGCCAGCCCACAUAGUGACAACAAUGUGGAACACAUGGUGGGACACACCUCUCCCCCAUUACAAGAUAGUAGAGACUGUCAGUGUUGUUGCUAGAUUGACUGGUCUUUGUAGGCAACUAGAAGGACAACACAGGUGUCAUAAGAUUGUUGUUGAUGUUGUUGUUGAAGAGGUAAAAAAGAAGUUUGAUGCCGCUGAAGUGCCAACUGAUAUUGAGCAAAUCAAAAGCAACCACCUGAGAAAGCAACACUAUCGAAAUUUGGGUAUCUAUGUGCCGCCAACUCUGGUAAGAAUGGCAUAGGACAGAAGUGUGAUGAAAAUCACACAGACACUGCUGUUGCAUCACUGGCCACAGUGAGCAGCGACUUGUAGGGCAAGAGAGUCAACUGAAACUAACAUUAUGAUAUAGUGUCAUGCUCCCAUGUGACCACUUUUCAAGUUAUUUUGCAAGAUACAGCUCAACCUCCAGAAACGAGACUGCAACUUGUCUGUAAAAAAGCUUUCACAAAAAAUUCAUAACACUAUUAACAUAGCAGUAUCCUUUUUUGUGUCGGUUCGAGGUUCCCGGCUGUCCAUUAAUGCAAAAAUUGAGGAAAAAAAGAACAUGUGUCGUACUUACACCUUUUUAACAAGUACGAGGGGGACAGAACUUUUCUAGUCAUGCAUCUUCAUCAUACUAUCAAGUUUUUAAAUGCCUUUUAUAAUUAUUAUUACCAGUUAUAUCUGAGUGCAUUGUAUGCAUGUAGCAGGUGUAAAAUCAGGUCAGUUGGAUCAGAUGCCUUAUCUGCAAGCGAGCCCUAUAUUCAAGAAAUUUGAAUUAAAAUAGUUACGUUAGAGACGCAGUCUUUCAGCACUUUAUUGCCUCUGGUUUAAGCAUUGCUCAAUAAUUUUGUGGGUGGCAAUUUCAACCGGCACAGCACUGCGCUUUGCCACAGUCACAUUUGUCUUUAAAGCGGUGUUUACCAUUUGUGUUGAUCUGUUUGUGUAUGCAUAGAGCAAGUUUUUAAUUUAUAUUUUUCUGCAUUCUUGUGCUUGCACUAAGCUUGUAUAAGGCAGUUACAAAAUGUGUGUCACUAUAACGAACUGUUCUGUUGAGCUUACACUUGCAAAUAAUCGUGUUCAGAUGGCCGCACUUCUAUGCGGGUGCACCGCUAGCUUUGUGUAUGUUCUCAUGUUUGUAUAAAGCUUAUAUAAGCUAGUUAGAAAAUGUAUGUCACUAAGCAUUGUGAUAUUCUUUAAAGAACUGCUUGGUUGGUUUUACACUUGUGAAUUAGUAUUGAGGCGGUGGUAUUCCCAUGUAUGCCCACUGCUAGCUUUCUGUGUCCUCACGUGUUUGUAUUAAGUUUCUACAAGGGAGUUACAGCAUGUACGUCACUAAGCGCUGUGAUAUUUUUUAAAGAACUGCUUUGUUGGUUUUACACCUGUGAGUAACAGUACUCGGGUGGCACUAGUCAUGUGUAGGUACACAGGGACCAUUUGUAUACAUUAUGCUCAUGUAAAGCAGUUACAAAGUGUAUGUCACUAAUUACUGUGAUAUUUGUUGAAUUGCUGUGAUGGUUUUACACAUGUGAAUAAUAGUGGUCAGGACACAGUACUUGCGGCGUAUAGUUGAAUUUAUACACUGCCAAGACAUGGGCUGUAUACGUACCAAAAGAAAUGUAUGUCAUUAUAUUGUUGUGAUUAUUACUGUUUGGAUUUUAUUAAACUGUAAUAAAAUUGUUUCUUGUAUCUA